rnacentral:rRNA from 5 species
UUUUACGGAGAGUUUGAUCCUGGCUCAGGACGAACGCUGGCGGCGUGCUUAACACAUGCAAGUCGAGCGGUAA